UUUUAGAGAUAAAGCGGAGGUAUUCGGGGAGACAGGUGGUGCAUGGUUGUCGUCAGCUCGUGUCGUGAGAUGUUGGGUUAAGUCCCGCAACGAGCGCAACCCCUAUUGCUAGUUACCAUCAUUAAGUUGGGGACUCUAGCGAGACUGCCAGUGAUAAACUGGAGGAAGGUGGGGAUGACGUCAAAUCAUCAUGCCCCUUAUGACCUGGGCUACAAACGUGAUACAAUGGCUGGAACAAAGGGAUGCGAAGCAGUGAUGUGGAGCGAAACCCAUAAAAACAGUCUCAGUUCGGAUUGAAGUCUGCAACUCGACUUCAUGAAGUCGGAAUCGCUAGUAAUCGCGGAUCAGAACGCCGCGGUGAAUACGUUCUCGGGGUUU
rnacentral:rRNA from 1 species